CAGAGUCUAAGGGAAAGCCAAGAGAAAUGCGUAUAUUUUUACUGUUAGUCGUAGCGCUGGGUUUGCUGGCAUUGGUGUGCUGCCAUAAUCCUGAGGAGAAAAAGCCGUAUCCUUAUCCCAAGCGCGGGGGAGGUGGCAGA